rnacentral:rRNA from 1 species
AUUGAACGCUGGCGGCAGGCUUAACACAUGCAAGUCGAGCGAGCGGCGGACGGGUGAGUAAUGUCUGGGAAACUGCCUGAUGGAGGGGGAUAACUACUGGAAACGGUAGCUAAUACCGCAUACCAUCAGAUGUGCCCAGAUGGGAUUAGCUAGUUGGUGGGGUAAUGGCUCACCUGGGCGACGAUCCCUAGCUGGUCUGAGAGGAUGACGGGCCACACUGGAACGGAGACACGGUCCGGACGCCUACGGGAGGCAGCAGUGGGGAAUAUUGGACAAUGGGCGCAAGCCUGAUGCAGCCAUGCGGGGGGGGUGAAGAAGGCCUUCGGGUUGUAAAGCACGUUCAGCGAGGAGGCGUUACUCGCAGAAGAAGCACCGGCUAACUCCGUGCCAGCAGCCGCGGUAAUAC